UUUUCAAGGUGUUUGAGAUUCCACAUAAAAAGCAGAUUGGAGAAUUCUGCAGACUACUGCAUCGACUGCUGCAUAGACUGAAAGCGCUUCAUGAUAAUCAUGGUCGUGUCCGCAAAGCGCUGAGCACAGUUGGUGAGACAUGCAUGCUCACUUGAGCUGAACUUGCUUCCAGGAGCGCCGGUGAUGCAUUUGUCCCAGCAAGCACUAGUCAGUUUAGACACCAUUUCACUCACCUGCACUCUCUGCUGCUCUUGCUCGAGAAAUCGCUGCAGCUCCUCGGUGUUCU
rnacentral:misc_RNA from 1 species